CCUGAUUGGUCCUCUGCCCUCACUGCUCUGCACAAAGAAGCAUGAGUCAGCACAGGUGACAGGAGACUUUAUAAAGCAUUGAAAUGUUAAGUCUCCAGGCGUCCUGCCGUAGCCUGAGGAGACCCAGUGAGAGGACAGAACGCUGGCGCACUGCUGUGUUGUUACAUAAUCAGCACUAAACAUCAGCCAUUCAUGUGUGAGGACAGCGUAUCAGAGAGAAA